rnacentral:rRNA from 1 species
GACGAGCGCUGGCGGCGUGCUUAACACAUGCAAGUCGAGCGGUAAGGCCCUUUCGGGGGUACACGAGCGGCGAACGGGUGAGUAACACGUGGGUGACCUGCCCUUAGCUCUGGGAUAAGCCUGGGAAACUGGGUCUAAUACCGGAUAUGACUCCAUGACGCAUGUUGUGGGGUGGAAAGCCUUGUGCGGCUAGGGAUGGGCCCGCGGCCUAUCAGCUUGUUGGUGGGGUGAUGGCCACCAAGGCGACGACGGGUAGCCGGCCUGAGAGGGCGACCGGCCACACUGGGACUGAGACACGGCCCAGACUCCUACGGGAGGCAGCAGUGGGGAAUCUUGCGCAAUGGGCGAAAGCCUGACGCAGCGACGCCGCGUGAGGGAUGACGGCCU